rnacentral:rRNA from 1 species
ACGAACGCUGGCGGCGUGGAUAAGACAUGCAAGUCGAACGGGAGAAUUGCUAGCUUGCUAAUAAUUCUCUAGUGGCGCACGGGUGAGUAACACGUGAGUAACCUGCCUCUUAGUGGGGGAUAGCCCUGGGAAACCGGGAUUAAUACCGCAUACGAUUGAAAGAUCAAAGCAGCAAUGCGCUAGGAGAUGGGCUCGCGGCCUAUUAGUUAGUUGGUGAGGUAACGGCUCACCAAGGCGAUGACGGGUAGCCGGUCUGAGAGGAUGUCCGGCCACACUGGAACUGAGACACGGUCCAGACACCUACAGGUGGCAGCAGUCGAGAAUCAUUCACAAUGGGGGCAACCCUGAUGGUGCGACGCCGCGUGGGGGAAUGAAGGUCUUCGGAUUGUAAACCCCUGUCAUGUGGGAGCAAAUUAAAAAGAUAGUACCACAAGAGGAAGAGACGGCUAACUCUGUGCCAGCAGCCGCGGUAAUACAGAGGUCUCAAGCGUUGUUCGGAAUCACUGGGCGUAAAGCGUGCGUAGGCUGUUUCGUAAGUCGUGUGUGAAAGGCAGGGGCUCAACCCCUGGAUUGCACAUGAUACUGCGAGACUAGAGUAAUGGAGGGGGAACCGGAAUUCUCGGUGUAGCAGUGAAAUGCGUAGAUAUCGAGAGGAACACUCGUGGCGAAGGCGGGUUCCUGGACAUUAACUGACGCUGAGGCACGAAGGCCAGGGGAGCGAAAGGGAUUAGAUACCCCUGUAGUCCUGGCAGUAAACGGUGCACGCUUGGUGUGCGGGGAAUCGACCCCCUGCGUGCCGGAGCUAACGCGUUAAGCGUGCCGCCUGGGGAGUACGGUCGCAAGAUUAAAACUCAAAGAAAUUGACGGGGACCCGCACAAGCGGUGGAGUAUGUGGCUUAAUUCGAUGCAACGCGAAGAACCUUACCUGGGCUUGACAUGUAAUGAACAACAUGUGAAAGCAUGCGACUCUUCGGAGGCGUUACACAGGUGCUGCAUGGCCGUCGUCAGCUCGUGUCGUGAGAUGUUUGGUUAAGUCCAGCAACGAGCGCAACCCCUGUUGCCAGUUACCAGCACGUCAAGGUGGGGACUCUGGCGAGACUGCCCAGAUCAACUGGGAGGAAGGUGGGGACGACGUCAGGUCAGUAUGGCCCUUAUGCCCAGGGCUGCACACGUACUACAAUGCCCAGUACAGAGGGGGCCGAAGCCGCGAGGCGGAGGAAAUCCUGAAAACUGGGCCCAGUUCGGACUGUAGGCUGCAACCCGCCUACACGAAGCCGGAAUCGCUAGUAAUGGCGCAUCAGCUACGGCGCCGUGAAUACGUUCCCGGGUCUUGUACACACCGCCCGUCACAUCAUGGAAGCCGGUCGCACCCGAAGUAUCUGAAGCCAACCGCAAGGAGGCAGGGUCCUAAGGUGAGACUGGUAACUGGGAUG